rnacentral:rRNA from 1 species
UACAGAGGUGGCAAGCGUUGUUCGGAAUUACUGGGCGUAAAGGGCGCGUAGGCGGUUCGUUAAGUCCUGUGUGAAAUCCCCCGGCUCAACUGGGGAACUGCACAGGAAACUAGCGGGCUUGAGUUCGGGAGAGGGAAGCGGAAUUCCGGGUGUAGCGGUGAAAUGCGUAGAUAUCCGGAGGAACACCGGUGGCGAAGGCGGCUUCCUGGACCGACAUUGACGCUGAGGAGCGAAAGCCAGGGGAGCAAACGGG